rnacentral:tRNA from 1 species
CGGGGUCCCCAGCCGGUCGGCAUUGGGCAUUGUGACGGGCAGGGGUGGUCUGCUGACGACCGGCUGGGGUGGCAUCGGCGGUUCAAAUCCGCCCGCCCCGACCA